rnacentral:rRNA from 1 species
GAGUUUGAUCAUGGCUCAGGAUGAACGCUGACAGAAUGCUUAACACAUGCAAGUCAACUUGAAUUUGGGUUUUUAACUUAGAUUUGGGUGGCGGACGGGUGAGUAACGCGUAAAGAACUUGCCUCACAGCUAGGGACAACAUUUAGAAAUGAAUGCUAAUACCUGAUAUUAUGAUUUUAAGGCAUCUUAGAAUUAUGAAAGCUAUAAGCACUGUGAGAGAGCUUUGCGUCCCAUUAGCUAGUUGGAGAGGUAACAGCUCACCAAGGCGAUGAUGGGUAGCCGGCCUGAGAGGGUGAACGGCCACAAGGGGACUGAGGCACGGCCCUUACUCCUACGGGAGGCAGCAGUGGGGAAUAUUGGACAAUGGACCGAGAGUCUGAUCCAGCAAUUCUGUGUGCACGAUGAAGUUUUUCGGAAUGUAAAGUGCUUUCAGUUGGGAAGAAAUAAAUGACGGUACCAACAGAAGAAGUGACGGCUAAAUACGUGCCAGCAGCCGCGGUAAUACGUAUGUCACGAGCGUUAUCCGGAUUUAUUGGGCGUAAAGCGCGUCUAGGUGGUUAUGUAAGUCUGAUGUGAAAAUGCAGGGCUCAACUCUGUAUUGCGUUGGAAACUGUAUAACUAGAGUACUGGAGAGGUAAGCGGAACUACAAGUGUAGAGGUGAAAUUCGUAGAUAUUUGUAGGAAUGCCGAUGGGGAAGCCAGCUUACUGGACAGAUACUGACGCUAAAGCGCGAAAGCGUGGGUAGCAAACAGGAUUAGAUACCCUGGUAGUCCACGCUGUAAACGAUGAUUACUAGGUGUUGGGGGUCGAACCUCAGCGCCCAAGCAAACGCGAUAAGUAAUCCACCUGGGGAGUACGCCGGCAACGGUGAAACUCAAAGGAAUUGACGGGGGCCCGCACAAGCGGAGGAACAUGUGGUUUAAUUCGAUGAUACGCGAGGAACCUUACCCGGGAUUGAAAUGUAGACGACGGAGAGUGAGAGCUUUCUUCCCUUCGGGGCGUCUAUGUAGGUGCUGCAUGGUUGUCGUCAGCUCGUGCCGUGAGGUGUCGGCUUAAGUGCCAUAACGAGCGCAACCCUGACUGUCAGUUGCUAACAGGUAAAGCUGAGGACUCUGGCGGGACUGCCGGCGUAAGCUGUGAGGAAGGUUGGGAUGACGUCAAAUCAGCACGGCCCUUACAUCCGGGGCGACACACGUGUUACAAUGGCAGGGACAAAGGGCAGCUACCGGGCGACCGGAUGCCAAUCUCCAAACCCUGUCUCAGUUCGGAUCGGAGUCUGCAACUCGACUCCGUGAAGCUGGAUUCGCUAGUAAUCGCGCAUCAGCCAUGGCGCGGUGAAUACGUUCCCGGGCCUCGCACACACCGCCCGUC